GAUGAACGCUGGCGGCGUGCCUAAUACAUGCAAGUCGAGCGAACGGACGAGAAGCUUGCUUCUCUGAUGUUAGCGGCGGACGGGUGAGUAACACGUGGAUAACCUACCUAUAAGACUGGGAUAACUUCGGGAAACCGGAGCUAAUACCGGAUAAUAUUUUGAACCGCAUGGUUCAAAAGUGAAAGACGGUCUUGCUGUCACUUAUAGAUGGAUCCGCGCUGCAUUAGCUAGUUGGUAAGGUAACGGCUUACCAAGGCAACGAUGCAUAGCCGACCUGAGAGGGUGAUCGGCCACACUGGAACUGAGACACGGUCCAGACUCCUACGGGAGGCAGCAGUAGGGAAUCUUCCGCAAUGGGCGAAAGCCUGACGGAGCAACGCCGCGUGAGUGAUGAAGGUCUUCGGAUCGUAAAACUCUGUUAUUAGGGAAGAACAUAUGUGUAAGUAACUGUGCACAUCUUGACGGUACCUAAUCAGAUAGCCACGGCUAACUACGUGCCAGCAGCCGCGGUAAUACGUAGGUGGCAAGCGUUAUCCGGAAUUAUUGGGCGUAAAGCGCGCGUAGGCGGUUUUUUAGUCUGAUGUGAAAGCCCACGGCUCAACCGUGGAGGGUCAUUGGAAACUGGAAAACUUGAGUGCAGAAGAGGAAAGUGGAAUUCCAUGUGUAGCGGUGAAAUGCGCAGAGAUAUGGAGGAACACCAGUGGCGAAGGCGACUUUCUGGUCUGUAACUGACGCUGAUGUGCGAAAGCGUGGGGAUCAAACAGGAUUAGAUACCCUGGUAGCCCACGCCGUAAACGAUGAGUGCUAAGUGUUAGGGGGUUUCCGCCCCUUAGUGCUGCAGCUAACGCAUUAAGCACUCCGCCUGGGGAGUACGACCGCAAGGUUGAAACUCAAAGGAAUUGACGGGGACCCGCACAAGCGGUGGAGCAUGUGGUUUAAUUCGAAGCAACGCGAAGAACCUUACCAAAUCUUGACAUCCUUUGACAACUCUAGAGAUAGAGCCUUCCCCUUCGGGGGACAAAGUGACAGGUGGUGCAUGGUUGUCGUCAGCUCGUGUCGUGAGAUGUUGGGUUAAGUCCCGCAACGAGCGCAACCCUUAAGCUUAGUUGCCAUCAUUAAGUUGGGCACUCUAAGUUGACUGCCGGUGACAAACCGGAGGAAGGUGGGGAUGACGUCAAAUCAUCAUGCCCCUUAUGAUUUGGGCUACACACGUGCUACAAUGGACAAUACAAAGGGCAGCGAAACCGCGAGGUCAAGCAAAUCCCAUAAAGUUGUUCUCAGUUCGGAUUGUAGUCUGCAACUCGACUACAUGAAGCUGGAAUCGCUAGUAAUCGUAGAUCAGCAUGCUACGGUGAAUACGUUCCCGGGUCU
rnacentral:rRNA from 1 species